GAUGAACGCUAGCGGCAGGCUUAACACAUGCAAGUCGAGGGGCAGCAUAAUGGAUAGCAAUAUCUAUGGUGGCGACCGGCGCACGGGUGCGUAACGCGUAUGCAACCUACCUUUAACAGGGGGAUAACACUGAGAAAUUGGUACUAAUACCCCAUAAUAUCAUAGAAGGCAUCUUUUAUGGUUGAAAAUUCCGAUGGUUAGAGAUGGGCAUGCGUUGUAUUAGCUAGUUGGUGGGGUAACGGCCCACCAAGGCGACGAUCAGUAGGGGUUCUGAGAGGAAGGUCCCCCACAUUGGAACUGAGACACGGUCCAAACUCCUACGGGAGGCAGCAGUGAGGAAUAUUGGUCAAUGGGCGAGAGCCUGAACCAGCAACGCCGCGUGAAGGAAGAAGGCUUUCGGGUUGUAAACUUCUUUUAAGAGGGAAGAGCAGAAGACGGUACCUCUAGAAUAAGCCACGGCUAACUACGUG
rnacentral:rRNA from 1 species